UUCUAUAACAAAAAAAUAAUAAUUAUUUAAAUAUGGUGUAGUCUUAGUUACUACUGUAAAUGAGUAUAAAAGAAUACGUUACGUAAUCACAAAACCUAAAGUGUUUGUACAUAGCUAUGCUCAGUCUUCUUAAAUGUGUUUCCUUCUGGACAUAUUCUUAUCUAAAAUUUAAAAAUGUAAAGAACCUGCUUACAAAAGCACAAUGUAGAACCUUUUUUACUGCUAGGAUUUUAUCUGACAAGAAUUUCCAUGUUUUGCUUCCCAAAACAGGAUUUAAGCUCUAUGGGAACUAUCGUGGCACCCCUCGUUUGUUUCCUCCUGCUACUUUCUUUUAAAAUGGCACACACAGACAACCAGAAUGUAACCUUCACAACUACUCCAAACCUUGACUUAAACCUGACAGAAUUCACUGUAGCAUCAACUUCACUUAACUCGACUGUAACUCCAACUACUCUCUUAACCUCAACCAAGGAUACAGCCAAAUAUACCAGCACAAAGCAUGGCAAUAAUACCUUCUCUACUACAGUCGCUGCAACUGAAAACACAAGUCAACAUCAAACUUCUCAGUCAGCUACCAUCUUGACAUCACCAACAGGCAGUGGAUCACUAAACACCACUACACCAACCACACAAUCGCCUGCGCUUACAACGACCACACAAACCAUCCAGACUACAACACAUUUGAAUAUUACAUCUGAUACACUAGGUUCAACUGUAAACUCAUCUCACAGCAUGACUACAUCUACAGUUUCAGUGAAUGCUACAGAAGGUUUGAGACUUAACAUGUCAGAGAGAAAUAUGACAAUAAUCUUCAGCGGCAUGCUUGGGCUCUUUGCUUUGACGAUAGCUAUGAUCAUGUUUUACAAAUGCAAACAUAAAUUCCAGUACUUGCAUCAACGUCUUGACACCUCAGAUGGCACAGAUGGAUUUGUGCUCGAUGAUGACACCCUUGUUAUUUCUGGAGGACUUUAUGAUGCCCAUCCAAUCUACGACAAUGUGCCACCCACUCCUGCGGAACCAUCACGAUUUUGCCUUGAAUUCCUUCAUUAAAGAGAGACCUCUACGCUAAAUCACAGUGAUAACCCACUGAUAUGGACAUGGACAGAAUCCCAUUUCUCCUCCAUGGAUCAGUGUUAUUUCAGAACUAAAAAGAACCUGUGGAAUUAAAUUAUUUACCAACAGGAAGUAAUACUGAAAGUAAUAAUGAAUAACAAUGACUGAUGUAACUGUAAUUAAUUAAUUUUAUUAGUUUGUGGGAAUGACCAAACAAAUAUAUUCACAUAACAACACCUUUACCAAAAUAACAAUAAAGGUUUAUGUAGACCGAACUAAGGGAAUUGGAUAACAGUUUUAAGCAUAACGUUUUUUCCAAACAACAGUAUUAUGGAAAACUUUUUUUCACAAGAACUUUAAAGCAAUAAGGGUGACAUUGUAGUCACAUAAGGAGAACAUCUCAAGUGUUUUUUCACAAAAUUAGCUCUACAAUCGUAUAAAUGAGCAAAAUUUUAAGACUAAACCUGUUCAAAAAAGUUUUCAAUUUGAUAAGAUAUUUUUUCAAUUACAACAAUGUCACCACAUUAACACUACAAAUUUCCAUAAAGCUAAGUUCAUUCAAAACAUACAUAAAAGUAGCUUAUUUUUAGAUAACACAGAGCAUGGCUUUGUAGUCAUAUACAGUGAACUUCCAAAGAAAACCUACAACCUCAAGAACUCUAAAUUCCAAGCAUGUUUAAGUGAACAAUAUUAAGACUAGACCCUUUAGAUAUUAGAAUAACUUAUUUCAUCAGAACAAUCAAUGUAUGAA